rnacentral:rRNA from 1 species
AGCGAACGCUGGCGGCAUGCUUAACACAUGCAAGUCGCACGACCGGGUUUCGGCCUGGGAGUGGCGGACGGGUGAGUAUCGCGUAGGGAUUUGUCGUUGGGUGGGGGACAACCGUUGGGAAACUGGGGCUAAUACCGCAUGACGCCUGUGGGCCAAAGCUCGAGAGGGCGCCUGACGAGGAGCCUGCGUCCGAUUAGGUAGUUGGUUGGGUGAUGGCUGACCAAGCCUGCGAUCGGUAGCUGGUCUGAGAGGAUGGCCAGCCACACUGGGACUGAGAC